UAAUUUGUCUAGGGCAGAUCCUCGUCUAAUUGUUACAGACUCAUACUUAGCGGCUCAGAAUCACUCAUUUUCAUAGGCUCAAUUACAUUAGGUGGCCAACAAGCAUAUAUAACAUGAUACGUUGACCCAUGUUGUUGCAUCCAAGAAUAAUAU
rfam:Populus trichocarpa scaffold_16_contig_234, whole genome shotgun sequence.